CUUAUCAAGAGCAGUUGAGGGACAGGGCCCUGUGACACUGCGGCAACCGGCUUUUUGGGUAUCGGUGCCAAAUCCCUCCGUUCAAGCGGAAGAUAAG
rnacentral:ncRNA from 1 species